rnacentral:lncRNA from 1 species
UAACGCUUUUUUCUUAUUGUCUCUAUAUUCCUAAUUCUCCACCUGUAAAACAGUGCAAAUUUAUGAAUCUUGUAACUUACUGUCACAAACCUAGAAAAAUCUUAACAGUGAGGGUGGUUACAGAAUCAUUUAAAGUAUAAACAUUAGUGGGGCUUAAAGAGAAAAUAACAUAAAAUUAUAUGAUAACAGCACAAAGAAUGGAAGGCAAGAAUUGGGAGUACACUGUUCUAAGGCUCUUAAACUACAUGUGAAGUAAUAUAAUAUUAUUUGAAUGCAGACAUGUUAAUUAAAGAUGCAGAUUGUAAACCUAAGGUAACAAGUAAAACUUAAGAGGUACAAAUAAUAAACCAAUAGUGGAAAUAAAGUGGAAUCACAAAACAUAUUAAUUCAAAGGAAGGCAGAAAAAGAUGGAAAAACAAAGAACAGAUAGAAUACAAAACAACCAGAAGGAUAACAGAUUUUAAUUCAAUGACAGCAGUGAUCAUAUUACACUAAGCCAAGGUUAGGAAACUAGAGUCCUGGAGCCAUAUCUGGCCCAUGCCUAUUUUUAUAAAGUGUUCUUGGAAUACAGACAUACUGGUUCAUUUGCAUACUGUACAGCAGCUUUCAUGUUACAGCAUAGUUGAAUGUCUGCAUGACAUACAAGCAUGACCUGUAACCAUGUACCAUUUGGUCCUUUAUUUAAAAAGUCUGUUGGUC